rnacentral:rRNA from 1 species
UGGGGAAUUUUGCGCAAUGGGGGAAACCCUGACGCAGCCAUGCCGCGUGUGUGAUGAAGGCCCUCGGGUCGUAAAGCACUGUUUGGAGGGAAGAAGUUCUGACGGUACCUCCCAAGAAAGCACCGGCUAACUCCGUGCCAGCAGCCGCGGUAAUACGGAGGGUGCAAGCGUUGCUCGGAAUCACUGGGCGUAAAGGGUACGCAGGCGGAUCGCUAAGUCGGGUGUGAAAGCCCGGGGCUCAACCCCGGAACUGCGCCCGAUACUGGCGGUCUUGAGUACGGGAGAGGGAUGGCGGAAUUCCUGGUGUAGAGGUGAAAUUCGUAGAUAUCAGGAGGAACACCAGUGGCGAAAGCGGCUUCCUGGCCCGAUACUGACGCUCAUGUACGAAAGCGUGGGGAGCAAACAGGAUUAGAUACCCCCGUAGUCC